ensembl:snRNA U1 U1 spliceosomal RNA
AAAAUUACCCAGCAGGGAAGAUGCCACGAUCAAGAAGUUGGUUUUCCCAGGGUGAAUCUCACCCAUUGCACGCUGGGUAUCCUGGCUCCUGCAAUUUCCCCAAAUGCAGGCAACUCAGCUGCAUGAUUUGUGGGGAUAGUUGUGGAUAGUAUUUGAGCUUUUCCCUU